rnacentral:rRNA from 1 species
CAGUAGCCGCGGGAAUACGGAGGGUGCAAGCGUUAAUCGGAAUUACUGGGCGUAAAGCGCACGCAGGCGGUCUGUCAAGUCAGAUGUGAAAUCCCCGGGCUUAACCUGGGAACUGCAUUUGAAACUGGCAGGCUAGAGUCUUGUAGAGGGGGGUAGAAUUCCAGGUGUAGCGGUGAAAUGCGUAGAGAUCUGAAGGAAUACCGGUGGCGAAGGCGGCCCCCUGGACAAAGACUGACGCUCAGGUGCGAAAGCGUGGGGAGCAAACAGGAUUAGAUACCCGCGUAGUCCCUGUCUCUUAUAC